rnacentral:tRNA from 1 species
GGCGGUAUAGCUCAGUUGGUAGAGCAACGGAAUCAUAAUCCGUGGGUCGUUGGUUCAAGUCCAUCUGCCGCUACCA